rnacentral:rRNA from 1 species
CGCGUAGGCGGUUUGAUAAGUCAGAUGUGAAAGCCCACGGCUUAACUGUGGAAGUGCAUUUGAAACUGUCAGACUUGAGUAUCAGAGGGGAAAGUGGAAUUCCGGGUGUAGAGGUGAAAUUCGUAGAUAUCGGGAGGAAUACCGGUGGCGAAGGCGACUUUCUGGCUGAAUACUGACGCUGAGGCGCGAAAGCGUGGGGAGCAAACAG